CGCAUCUGUGCAUGCAGCAUAUCAAUAAGCGGAGGAAAAGGCUGCGGAACUGAACGACUGCUACCUACGCUUAGGAUGUUGAUGCAUAUCAAUAAGCGGAGGAAAAGGGGGCUAUUACCUACGCUUAGGAUGUUGACAUACGCGCGUGCUCGACUCUAUACAUGACUCUGUGCAUAUCAAUAAGCGGAGGAAAAGGAGUAUACCUACGCUUAGGAUGUUGACGAGACUGUCGAUCUCAUCUAUACAUGACUCUGUGCAUAUCAAUAAGCGGAGGAAAAGAAACUAACAAUGAUUCCCCUAGUAACGGCGAGUGAAGCGGGAAGAGCUCAAAUUUGAAAUCUUAAAGGGUUUCCCUUUACGAAUUGUAGUUUAAAGAAGUGUUUUCUGUUGAGGUUUUGGUAAAAGUUCUUUGGAAUAGGACAUCAUAGAGGGUGAGAAUCCCGUAUUUGACCUUUACUUUCAACUUUGUGAUACACUUUCAAAGAGUCGGAUUGUUUGGGAAUGCAGUCCAGAAAUGGGUGGUAAAUUUCAUCUAAAGCUAAAUAUUGGCGAGAGACCGAUAGCGAACAAGUACCGUGAGGGAAAGAUGAAAAGAACUUUGAAAAGAGAGUUAAACAGUACGUGAAAUUGUCAAAAGGGAAGCGUUUGACACCAGUGUUGUUUUUCUGAAAAUCAAUUAAAGAACUGUUUAUGCUAAGCUGUUUAGACUUUAUCAGCUAUCAUGUUUAGUUCUGAGCUUUUCUUUAAUGCACUUUUCAGUUAACAAGUCAACAUCAAUUUCUUUUGCUGUAAAAAAGCUUGAGGAAGGUGGCUUGAGAUUCGUCUUAAGUGUUUAUAGCCUCUUGCCUAUGCAGUCGGAGAGAUUGAGGUCUGCAGCGUAGAUCCUUCGGGGCUAAAUGCAUUUGUGCUAAGUUAUAGCAUUUUAUAGACAACUUGUUGACUAUGAUUUGUCUUGUAGCUUACUCGCUUAUGUUAUUUUACCUACGCUUAGGAUGUUGAAGAUAUGCGCGACACG
rnacentral:rRNA from 1 species